rnacentral:lncRNA from 9 species
ACUUUUUUUUUUUUUUUUUUUUUUUGUCUUUUUGCCAUUUCUUGGGCCGCUCCUGCAGCAUAUGAAGGUUCCCAGGCUAGGGGUCGAAUGCGAGCUGUAGCCGCCGGCCUACACCAGAGCCACAGCAAUGCAGGAUCCGAGCUGUGUCUGCAACCUACACCACAGCUCAAAGCAACGCCAGAUCCUUAACCCACUGAGCAAGGCUAGGGAUCAAACCCGCAACCUCAUGGUUCCUAGUCAGAUUCAUUAACCACUGAGCCACGACAGGAAUUCCACUUUUAAAGUAUACCUUUUAUCACCUAAGGAGGAUUUCUGUAAAUAGAACUGCUGAAUCAAAAAUUAUGAUGACUUCUGAGGUUUCUAAGAAAACCUGCACAUUGUUCUGAGAACGACAUGUACCAAUUUACACUCCCCGAUGGAAAACACUUGAUUUUGCCAAUGUUGAUCGAAAAAAAAGUCACAACGUAAAAGCUGAGAGUUAGGUCUUAUUCGUUGGACACAUCUGAGGAGUUAAGCCCAGGCAGGACACAGCCUCUCAGUUGAUUCUGAGAGACUGCUCUAGAGAGGCAAGGAGGCGUCCGGAUGUCUGAAUUUUUACAGCAAAUUUUUAUAAUCAAAAGAUUACUAUGAAUGAAAGAAAACCAGUUCUCUCAAGUUAAAGAACUGAGUGCUUUUCUAUGUAUAGGACAAUGCACAACCUGUGCUCCCUGAAAUCAUUCCUUUGAUAUAUACCUCAACUCUCUGGGGCCAGGAUUCUCUCAUUUUGAGUCUCCUCAAGGUACACCACUGGCGGUAGCUGCAUUAGUGGGCAUUGUUUCCAUCCUGGGUUCCCUCAGGGCUCACCAUCCAGGUGGCUGUAAUGUGAUGGCUUGAUGGCUGCAAAAUCCUUUGUUCAUUAAUAUGGCAGGUGAUAUUUUUUUAUUCACACCGACUUCAUAAUACAUUUUAACUCAUAAAAUUAUAAGCUGUCUACAUUUUAUUAUAAACUUACCUUUUUAUAAACAUUUCUAUAAACCACAAACCAGACAAGGAUAAUUUUACAGCCAAUAUUCAAUUCUAAUUCUUAUUAGAGUUCUCUUUUAAAAAACUUAUGUUUUUCUAUUUGCCAGUGUAUUCCAGGACUUGUACAACAAAUAACACAUAGUGAUGCGCAUAAUAAAAAAUUUAAAUAAAUAUGAAUUAAUGUCCGAAUGAGAGACCAGCUUGAGGAACGGAAAGCAGUGACAUCGCAUAGAACAUUAUCAGUGUUUUAUUUCCCCACCACAGAAAUUUCCUUACUAAAUGAUAGGACAAACAGUUCAAAGAAGAAAGAGUACAUUAUAAAGAUUUUGCCAAAUAUUAAUUUAUCAUCCUUUAAUCUUUAAUUUGAGUAAGUGAUUUAUUAAUAUUAACAAAGUAUGAAUAAAAUCACCAAGAAUAAAUACAGGCAUGAAAAGGAAAUUUUCUUCCCAUUUCUGUGCCUGAAUCUCCUACUUUCCUUCCAAGAGGCAACUGUCAUUACAGCCAAAUACCAUUUUUAAAUGAUAACUAAUUCACUAAGAGGCAUUCUCCAAAUUCCUUCAAUCAGUGGACACCAUUCCUAUAGAUAAAAAGCAUGUUUUGCAAAGCAUUCCACAAUUUUUCUUUCUACACUUGGAUGAAAAUACAGUGUGAAGGGCUCCAUGAUGAUGGGUGACAUCUGGAGACCGAUACUACUUCUUACAUGACCCUGGGGAAAGAAGCAACCUUCUGUGGCGUGUCUGCCCUGCCUUUUCAAAGAGAGCACAUUUGUGUGUUGUGAGGGUGACACCCACUGGUAUACAAUCAGAACUGCAUGUGCCAGGCCUUCAAAGAUCUGCAAACAAGAAAUCCUUAAGUAUUAUUCCAGACACGGUGAUGCUCAGAAUUCAUCCAUGCUAUUCUCCUAAAUUUCAAAACACAGUGACCAGUUUUACCUACUUUGAAUCUCAGAAGAGAAAACACCAGGUCUAGAUGCUCUGCAUCAGCAAAUAAGGAUGUGCCUCUAUCAUUCACUCAUUUGUAGCACAAAUAAUACUGAGUGUGAACUACACGCCUGUAACUGAAUGUCACACAGUGCUAGGAACAAGGAUGAAAAAGAUGCAGCCGCAUCCUCAAGGGCAUUUUUAAAUAAGAAUAUAUGCAGAGAUAACAAUUAGACAUGGAAGGGCCUGGAUUGAUCUGUACCCUGCACUCAUAUUUUACAUUGCCUUGACAUUUUAUUUAGCCCAAUUCUAAAAUAAGCAGAAAUUUACGUCUAGGAACCCCAAGUCUCAGAGUGGUUAAAGGACACAGCUACACAACAAUAGAUGUCUGAAUCCAAUUUGGCUUGACUCCAAAAUCCAAACUUCCAACACUAUCCAGUGUAAUGCAUCAGUUUAGCUCAUAAAUCAAGGGCAAAGCAUAUUAUUUUUUCCAGAUUUUCCUGUCUGUAUCUUAUUUUGUGUUGUAAAAGGGUAUAUACAUCACAGACUCAGCGAAUUUCUAUUCCUAUAAAAUUAUACUAUCAGACAUAGUAGGAUUAUAUUUAGGAAGAGAAAUCUUCAAAGUCUUCAAAACUGGUAAGCCAUUUUCUUCUUUAUGUUCAGAUGCUCAGAUUUCCUGCCAGCUGGCCUAGUAGAAAACUAGCUGCAUCAAUAUAAAUCCUUAGUGUGCAGCUCCUUGGGAGCCAGAUUUUUCUAGGGAAAGAAAUUCUGCCUUGUAUACUCUUGGGCACCUAAACAAAUCCCAGCUGUACCAGUCAUAGAUUGAUUGGUGAACCAAAACCACUAGGAAGUUAUGCAUGUAAUGGGAGAUGACCGAGAUUUGAUCUCAGACAACUAUGAGAGCUAGUUAAGUAGUUUGCUUUCUGCUAUUGUUAGGACAUCUCUUGCUGGGCCUGAGGGCAGCAGCGCAGGCAGUCUGGAAGCAAAGACGGCUGUGAAAUGAGGGAGAGCAAUAACAAAUUAAAACCCAUAGGACAAGUUGGAACCCAUGUUGGUCUCUUACAGGCUCCAAGCCUCCAAGUUCGAUGAUGCGGGUAACCUACAGGAAGAGUGGGCAUUCUUCCUCAUGGAGCUGAAAAAUGCAUUUGGCCCAGGAGUAGGAGCUGAAGGAUGAAUCUUGUGGAAGCUGGAGGUGUCCAGCUAUUGUCUCAUGUGGACAAGAUGAGACAGCAGAUCCAGGACCAUGUGUAAAAGCUAUACCAACUAUCUGUGUAUAAAAAUAAUAUGGCUGCUGCUUAUUUACACCUUCAAAAUCCUGUGCGAGACAUUUUGUGUGACCCACGCUAGCCUGUGACUAUGGAAAAUACUGGGAAACAAGAAUUCUGGUUUAGAUAAGUUGACACAAGACAAUGCAAAGCACAAUACAUAAGCAGAAUUAUUUUGCAUGAUUUUUAUGUAAAUAUGAGUUAUUUCUCACUCUAAGUCAUUACUAAGGCCAAUCUUUCAUUUUCUUAACUAAAUAAUAUGUUGGCCAAAUAAUAACUAAGAAAAUAGGCCCAAGUCAUGAGGAAUAAUGGUAUGAACACCUUUUUGACCUAAUGAAAGUAGCUUUAGGGAAUCCAGGAAAUGGAAAAUAUACAUAAAAUUCAUAUGCAUUCUGAGAAAAUUCAACAUUUUUGAUAAUUUCGAUAUCCACCUGAAUUCCUCCUAUGUCAUCAUCCCCAGGAAGCAAGUAUUAUUUUGGUGAGAGCAGCAAGAGUCCAAUGUCAGUGAUCUAGGCUGUUUGAAUACAAUUGAUAAUGUAAGAUUCAGUCUGCUCAUGACUUUAUGUAGCUGGAAGCUGAGACUAGACUCCAAUUCUACAUAGUGUGAUUCUGUAUACACCAACAGCUCUCCAUUGGGCUUCCCAUCUGUCCUGCUUUGGCAUGACUGAAAUAACAACAAAAGCAAGUGAUCCUAGAGGCUUCAGAAGUUCUUGGAGGAGAUGCUCCUUCAGUGGGGUUGCAUUUAGGAUAGGCUCUAACAGCAGUGGAAUGUGCCUCUUGCCUUCUUUCACAUUUAACCACUUCCAACAUCUCUUUGCAGGCUUGAUGGAUCCAACAGCAACUCUUAAUUGAUUAAUCAAAAGCAGCUUAAUUCUUAGGAAGAUACUGUUAAUCCAUGCAGAACUUUAAUGCAGUUUUAGCAUGAAAUUAAAUGCUAGCUACAUCCUCUGCUCUCCCAAUAGACUUAAUUAGUAAUUGAAUUUAUUGACUUUUUUAUUACACUCAAUUUAUAAAGUGGGCUUUCAGAAUAAUGCACAUGACAGAUAAAAAAAAAGUCUCCAUUUGCAAAUAUGUAACUAUUUAAAGUAACCAGAUAUCACAUGUUUAAAUACUCUAUACUUGGGUGAAUGGGAGACCUAUGAAUAGCAAAGGAAAAUCUCUGCUGAGUCUCAUCAGAUACAUUGAAACCUGCCAUAUGUUGGUGAAUUAUCGUAAUUUAUUUAGGCUGAUGGCAUAGUUGCCUUUUGAAUACUCCUAGCGCUGAACAUAGGGUGCUGUGACCUGCUCAGAUUUGCUUUUUGGGACCAUUGCUUUAGCUGCAAUGUGGAGACUAGGGUGGGACAAAAACAAAUAUGAGGAGAUUGGUGAGCAGAUCACUGCAAUAGUCUUGACAAGAGCAGAUAGAUGGCAACUGGUUAUAAUGAGCAAUGAGAGUAAAGAUGGAGAAAUAGCAAACCUAUUUGAAGGUAAAACCCGAAGAUAUAAUGUGGGACUGGUGGGCAUCAGAGAAGGAGGUGUCAGUGAAACUCUUCCUAUGUGGGUGUGUUUAGGUAGUUAGUCCUUACAGCCGCCCUGGGAUGGAGACACUGUUAAAGAAACAGAAGAAUCCAGGGGAUGUGCAAGAGUGGUGUUGUAUGUCUUGGAGAAUGACAUGAUAGAGCCCCUUUGUCUGCACUGACACAGUGUCAUCAGGUGACAGUGGAGACAUGCAGGCCUAGGCACAGAUAUGGUGAAGGGAGAGGGAUGGCAAGAGCACGUGGUCCAAGCCGUGUGGGCCAGUGUGCAGUGUGGAGCCUCAGCUCACAACGACAUUCCCCAGGUCUGCAGUCCCCAUCCAGGAAAGGAUCAUUGGCCC